rnacentral:rRNA from 1 species
CAGUAGCCACGGUAAUACGGAGGGGGCUAGCGUUGUUCGGAAUUACUGGGCGUAAAGCGCACGUAGGCGGCUUUGUAAGUUAGAGGUGAAAGCCUGGGGCUCAACUCCAGAAUUGCCUUUAAGACUGCAUCGCUUGAACGUCGGAGAGGUGAGUGGAAUUCCGAGUGUAGAGGUGAAAUUCGUAGAUAUUCGGAAGAACACCAGCGGCGAAGGCGGCUCACUGGACGACUGUUGACGCUGAGGUGCGAAAGCGUGGGGAGCAAACAGGAUUAGAUACCCCCGUAGUCCCUGUCUCUUAUAC